CCUACGGGAGGCAGCAGUAGGGAAUCUUCCGCAAUGGACGAAAGUCUGACGGAGCAACGCCGCGUGAGUGAUGAAGGUUUUCGGAUCGUAAAGCUCUGUUGUUAGGGAAGAACAAGUGCGAGAGUAACUGCUCGCACCUUGACGGUACCUAACCAGAAAGCCACGGCUAACUACGUGCCAGCAGCCGCGGUAAUACGUAGGUGGCAAGCGUUGUCCGGAAUUAUUGGGCGUAAAGGGCUCGCAGGCGGUUUCUUAAGUCUGAUGUGAAAGCCCCCGGCUCAACCGGGGAGGGUCAUUGGAAACUGGGAAACUUGAGUGCAGAAGAGGAGAGUGGAAUUCCACGUGUAGCGGUGAAAUGCGUAGAGAUGUGGAGGAACACCAGUGGCGAAGGCGACUCUCUGGUCUGUAACUGACGCUGAGGAGCGAAAGCGUGGGGAGCGAACAGGAUUAGAUACCCUGGUAGUCCACGCCGUAAACGAUGAGUGCUAAGUGUUAGGGGGUUUCCGCCCCUUAGUGCUGCAGCUAACGCAUUAAGCACUCCGCCUGGGGAGUACGGUCGCAAGA
rnacentral:rRNA from 1 species